GACGAACGCUGGCGGCGUGCCUAAUACAUGCAAGUUGAGCGCUGAAGGUUGGUACUUGUACCGACUGGAUGAGCAGCGAACGGGUGAGUAACGCGUGGGGAAUCUGCCUUUGAGCGGGGGACAACAUUUGGAAACGAAUGCUAAUACCGCAUAAAAACUUUAAACACAAGUUUUAAGUUUGAAAGAUGCAAUUGCAUCACUCAAAGAUGAUCCCGCGUUGUAUUAGCUAGUUGGUGAGGUAAAGGCUCACCAAGGCGAUGAUACAUAGCCGACCUGAGGGGGUGAUCGGCCACAUUGGGACUGAGACACGGCCCAAACUCCUACGGGAGGCGGCAGUAGGGAAUCUUCGGCAAUGGACGAAAGUCUGACCGAGCAACGCCGCGUGAGUGAAGAAGGUUUUCGGAUCGUAAAACUCUGUUGGUAGAGAAGAACGUUGGUGAGAGUGGAAAGCUCAUCAAGUGACGGUAACUACCCAGAAAGGGACGGCUAACUACGUGCCAGCCGCCGCCGUAA
rnacentral:rRNA from 1 species